AUCUCGCUCUUAUUUCCGGUGUAAGCACCCACUCGUGCUCCAAAGGUCAUAAGCUAGCGAUCGUGUCAGUCGAAACUACACUUUCGCUGUCUUAACUGUAGUUUCGACUGAAAUAAUCAUGAUGGAUCUGCUACUUUUCCAUUACGUAAGGCUGUGAGAGGUGAAGAUGAACAAGAAAACUGAAGGAGUUUUGGCAGUCCUCCAUUUCCCAAAUCCAGACCAAUGUCGGCCCCACUAGUGGUCCUUUGAAGAGAAAUGGCUGGAAGGAGGCAUGAAUGUGCUGGCCUUAUGAACUGGCUGGCCUAAGCAAAUGUUGCUGUAAAAGUUAUGGUGGCUGCAACAACAAAUUAUGGGUGCCAUACUCAGUAGUUAAGCAGUGGGCCUAUAUUAGGGGACUUCAACUGCAGGAAAAACAACUGCCAUCAUUAACCACAGUAAAUAAAAUUUACCUUCUGCUGAUCUACCACCAGCCUGAUAUCAAGACCUGCUUGCUGCCUAGGAGUUUUGAGGCAAUUGUUGUAAAACGUUUAACUGUGGCACAAAGAAGCCUAAUGAAGUGGCAGUUGGGAAUGGCCUCAAUGGCAAGCAUUGCUCAGGAGUUUGGGACUAGUUGGGAUGGUCUUUAUCACUGGCUGAAAGCGCGCUUGGAGCAACUGAAUGUCCCAGAAAGUGAGCUGCAUCUACGAUCAAUUGUCAAAAUCUUUCUCAUGAAUCACAAAGACCUGGAGGAUGAAGAAACACAUAGUGAAAGGAACAAAGUUGUUCUUCCUCGCAAAAAAUCUGCCUUCAGAUCUUCCCGUUCCAUUGAUGAAAGUCGCAAGUCAGUUGCUGAGACCUACAUUAAUCAUCUCCUUGAGAAGCAGAUGCAGCAGCGAAGUCAUGAAUCUAGUGAUGUCAAGAGCCUUAUUAAUGAGUUGUCUUUGCGGAUAGGUGAAGCUAGAGAAAGGAAAGAUGUAGCGGGACAGCUUACCAUUCAAUCUUGUCCAGGGAAUUCAGAAAAUGGAGUUAAAAAUGCCACAGACAGGUAUAAUCAAGCUUUUCCACCACUCUCAGAAAUUAGCAUCAAAACUCAGACUGCUUGUAGCUUGGAUACUAAACAUAGUGUUUGGUACUCUAGAACACCGCUGACAUGCAAGCCUGCAAAGGAAACAUCACAGAAAAAUGAAAGUUCAAAGGUAACACAAACUGCAGAGAUGUCCCCUAAGAAUGGCCUGCUGCACAAAAGAUCCAACAGACCACCCUGUAAAGGUAAAGAAAAUGAACUGCUGCCAGGAAAAGGUGAGCAGAAAAGGAAAAUCUCACAGUCCAUGAAAAAGGAGCAUGUAUGGCAAACACAAGGCAGAAAGUCUGUAGAAAACUAUAAAUCUUCCGUCCAUGAUCAUCUUUGCUGUACUUCAUAUGAGAGCUUCUGUAGGAAAGCAGAACAAGAUCUGAUGAGUUUCCUGUACAGUAAGCCCAAGUUUUCACCUAAGCAUUCACUCCAGCCUCUUGGGCAAAAAGAAGACAAAAGCUGGUACGCAGUACCAGUGGAUAGUCUUCUUAUGUUGACAAAAUCCCAGCAUCGUUUGUACAGAAGAGGUGAAUGUUAUUCUCAUAGCAGUCCAGACUCUCCUAUAAAUUGGCCUUCAAAUCAGAUGGGCAAUGAAUAUAAUCCAUUGAGUGAUCAGGCAGAUGGAAUAUCAUUAGUGAAACAAAACAUCCCUGACAUUGGCAAAGAGCAUCAACUGCGCUGCAAUAAUUUCGAAAGUGAAUGGUUUGAAAGGACUGGAGAAUUAGAUGUGAAGGUAGUUCCAACAACAACGAUUAAAGCUUCAGUGGAUGAAGGUCAUCAGCUGGAGGAACAUACUAAGCAGUUGUUAGCAGAUAUUGGUCAGCAACUGGGGAAAUGUACAGGCAGUUACCAAUAUGGAGCAAAUCUAUAUGUUGGAAUGGAAGAUGAUGCCGUUUUUAAACAACUACGAGCAGCUUCAGAACCAACUCCAUGCAGCAGGCAUAUGUUCACCCAUCAGACGAGUCAUGAGAGAUCUGAUCAGACCAUGCCUUCCAUUUUUGCAGAUGAUAAAACAGAUUUGGUUGGCAGGUAUCUUGGCAUUACUAGCCCUUAUCUCCCAACAGAUUCUGCAUCUUCUGAUGAGGAUCACAGCAACAUACUGGUUAAAACUGAUGUAUUUGAACAACUUGAUUCAUCUUGCAGGUUGAAUACAUCUGGCAGAAAUGGCAUGGAUGUGUCAGUACAUCCAGAUGAUGCUGAUAUAGAAUCUGUAGAUGGGACAUUUUUGGGUUCAGAUUACAUCUGCAACAAUACAAAGCAAGGGUUUAAUCCAUGUAUUGAAGUAGAUGUUGCUAAGCAGCACAGCUUGUCUGCAGAUAGUGGAGACACUUUGGCAUGUUCUGUGAAUUCUGCCAGUCAAACGUUUUGCUUUAGUUUAUCUCCAGGUCCUAACUUGGACCACCAACAUUUACUAAACAGCACCACAUCAUUUUCAUCUAAAGGUUCUAAUGCUUGCAUAGCCUCUGAGAGUAAUGGAGGCUUGUUUGGAUUUGAUGUUUUAAAUCAUGCAUUGCCCUCCUUUUCAUCACCUUACAUUGUUCAGCCAGUACAGUCAAGCCCACUAACAGACAUCAUUAAACCAGUUUAUUCAGAAAAACAUCAACACCCCUUCAGCUUCUCCUGUCUUGGAUGCCUGAAUUUGAACUACUGCAUGUGGAUACAGAGGUGCAGGGGUUUUGGUGGAGAUGCAAUGCACUUUUGGACCUCCUGUGCUUCAGGGUGCCUAUACAUUCCAGAACUUGGUCCUGCAAUUACACAGUGUGUACAUGACCAUUGUUACACAGUCAGAGAAAUGUCACCAGACAAGGAGACCUGGACUGAACCACCUACAGUCAGUAGCAUAAGUCAAGAAAAGCAGGAGCAAAUGAAGUUUUUGAUAAGUGUUGGCAACAUAAUUUUUUCUCAAAAUCCUACAGUACUAGAUCAGGCACAGGAAAAAAUUGAAGACUUUCAUUCAUUCAGCAUUUACUGCAAAGGUUGUGUGAGUAUGACUAUGUAUGAAAUGUCAGUCCGUGGGCAAACAGUUGAAUGGGGUGAGGUCCAGUCAUUUUUAUCAUCUUGUAUAUCUGGGUGCUUUUCAGUGGAAGACCAAAUGUCUGUCUGCACUCAAAAUCAAAACCAGUUGCUGAGGCAACUUUCCUCCAAAACACCAACUGCUGUGAACAGUUUUUGUUCAGAAGGGACAGAUGCAGUUUUGCUUAGUUUUGACUCAAAGGAAAAUGUGAAUAAUCAAGAAGCACAUUUACCUAGGACAGAGCUGCUACAAGAUGGUGCAGAUCACCAGCAGAUUUCACAAGAUUUGCAUCUUACAUCUUCUGAUCCAUUUUUUGUGCAGGAUGUUUACAAUGCCUCUGGACACACACCAGACAAAAUCUUUUCCCCUACUAAAACAUUUCAUCCAAGUCCAUUUUGCUUAAAGCCAUUUGAUCUCAAUUCAUGCGAUAUCAGAAUAGGCAAAGAAUCAUUUCCAGUAGGAAAUCGUGAAACUGCAUCAUCAAAUGAAUGUUCCUUUUGUGCGGUGUUCCAGCAAGAACCGGAAGACAGUUUAAUAGCUUUUAUCAGACAGCCAGAGGAAGCUGCCACCAACAACAAUUUUUUGCAUUAUUUUCCUUACCCUGCAUUUAGACAUUCUUCGCAAGCUUCCUCGGGCAGCACCAGAGAUCACAGCCCAGAAGUAUGGAAAGAUCCACGAAUGUGUCUUCCUGCAGUAGAAAAUAGUAUACCUGUAAUCCAUUCCUCUGACAAUUCUCAGAGGUAUGGUACGCUAGAUUGCAUGAUAUCCAACCAAGACAUUGUGGAAGGCAGUAAUAAUCGUGUUCUUGAAACAGGAUGGGGAGCUUUUGGAGAAGCCCUCGCAUGUCCAGUUGCUACCUUUGCAGAGUCUGAAAGCCAGGGAAGCACUGAUGUACAGGGUUGUAACCAUUCUUGUCCUGCCUCGCAGUCUUGUGAAGCAUGUACAUUGUAUAUAGACUCUCUUGUCACGGGGUAUUCAUCGGAUAGUCUUCCAGAAUUAUCUAAUCAGAAGCAGCAUAGUUCCUGCCAUGAGUGGAAACCAUCUGUCUGGCACACAUCGGACAAACUACAGAGCAGACAGCAUGAACAUCUGAAUAAGUCACGACAUGUUUAUUCACCCCUAAACUGUGUAGAAAAUCAAGAUAAACAGUUAGUUCCUGAAACUUUAUAUAGUGAAAUGUUCCAGUGGAUGUGUACACAACUGCAGUCACAAAACAGUACAGCAGAUUCAAAGCAGGACCAUAAUGUACCAAAGUUAGGAAGUUUUUCUCACCUAACACCAAGAAAUACAUGGGAAAAGAUGGGAUGUCUGUCACAUUUAGGGUCAGAUGAUGUGUGGGAAAAACCAGCAUGUUUUUCUCAAUCGGAAGGUACGCUGGAAAAUCCAGAGUGGAGUUUUAGUCCAAAAGGACAGAUGAAGAACAUGAAAUCAAAGAAGUGCAAGGAGGCAGAUGAUAUGCUUCAAACAAAUUCAUGUAAUUUAGCACAUCCAUGGCAGGAGAUAUAUAGAAUUUCAUCUCAUUUUCAUCAGCGAUGCAUCUCUGACAGCAGUCUUGUUCUGCCUUCUGAAAACUCUGCCUUCAGGGCUUGUACCCGAGCCCACAGCACUCCAGCCCUCACCCAUGAUUCCCCUUUCAGUAUUGGGGCCCCACCAGAAAUCCUUGUGGGUAAGAAGCAUGACAAGAGUGCAUCUUUACCCCUCAGUGUACCCCUUGAUGUCAUUGUUGGUGCUAAACAGAAAAUAAAUCUGCCAGUCUAUCAAAAGCUUAAGGAGAGGGCCGAGGCUCGAGGUCACCAUUUUCUUCCCAUUCGGGAUGACUCCAAAUCAAACAGUAGAGCUGCUGAGGAGGAGAUUUCUGUUGCUGCACCAGGAGAUAUAUUUGGUGUUCCUCCUCCUAUAGAGCCCCCACCUUGUCGGCACCAGUAUCACUCUUCACAUGCCAAGCAUUCUUGCAAAGGAGCCUGUUGUUGCCCAACUUUCUUUUACAGUGGCAGUGACAAGACCACACAGACCUAUGAAAACCAUGCUGGAAAUGAGCAAGCCCUCUACAACCAGCAUGGUCAUCUUGAUAGUGGUGACGAGUCACGCCUACCAGCUUUCAGGAGCAUUUGUUCUGUGGAGGCAGGUGAAGACUGUGAAGUGAGACCUGCAACAAAGAAAUAUGAAGAGAAGGACUGGAAGAUGCUACAAGAUGUGCCAGAUGAAGAGGAGUUGUUGGAAGCAAUAUUGAGUGGGAGACAGGCUUCAUACAUGGCAAGCUUGAGAGAGGACAACUACCACCAUCACGUUGCCAGCCAUAGCUUGGAUACUGGAGGUGACCAGAUAGCUGUCUUUGAAUUUUCACAGGAGAGUGCACAGUCUGGUGGUCUCCCUUACCCAGAGCAGGCUGUUUACCUCGCAGAGGUGGAAGAGGAGCUCCUUAACAGUGCAGCAGAACUUGCAAGCACCCGAUCAAGGCGGCGUCUUUGCAAGAAACCUCCAAAAGGGUCAGGUUACUACAAUAAACCCUGCUCCUUCUACCUGGAGGGCCAGUGCUAUCGGGCAGAUUGCAAGUUCUCACAUGACACCUCCUCCAUAACCUGUCGCUUUUGGGAAGAAGGACAGUGCUUCAAGGGCGACCUCUGUCCUUUCCGUCAUGGCUACCUCAGGAUAAAUUGAAAAGGAGAAGAUACAGGAGCAACAAGGAAGCAGCGGGGAUCAGAUAUACAGUUUGAACUGAAGAAGGAUGACUUUCCUGCACUGACCAGUAGAAAUAAAGAUAUUCGUGAUCACAGUGCUCCUCCAUCGCGGAG
rnacentral:misc_RNA from 1 species